CAGAACAAAGCAACAGCCUCCGCUUUUAAGAUGCACUGAGGGUCUGGGUGGGGGGCGCGGCUCAACUGGUAAAGAGAUCUCUUAAUUGUUCCGAAGAUUACUACUCAUCAAAACAACGAGAAUACGCAGCGCUGGGCUUAACCAGGGCAAGGUGGAGGGACUGCUCUUCCUACUAGGCAAGACCCAGACACUGAGCAGGAGGAGGAGGGAGGGAGGGAAGAGAAGGAAGUAGCCAAAGACACUCCGGAAAAAGACAAAAUACAGGGAACUGUACGCCCCGGCUGCGAUCUGACCCAAGACCCGGGGAGAGGCCUCCACACGGGAGACAGGGCUCAGGACCUUCAAACCAUAGCCGCCCUUAAAUCUUGAGCACGGAAGGUCCCCCAGGAGAGGCCUGACACCACCACCAAGGGAAGAGAAGAGGAACCGGGUUGCCACCAAAGGCAGAGACGAGGACCCUGGCGGAAGAGGCUGCGCAGUAAUGGCCGCUGCUCCUCCCCUCGCACCCCGACCGUGACCAGCUCCGGGCCGUCGCCCAGGGCAGGGGCUGCUGCGGCGGCGGCGGACAACGCAGCGCCCGUCACAGUAUUCUCGCCUGCGACAACAAUCAAGGUACCGGAGAUCGAAAGAAGGCGGUCCACCGGUGAGAUGUGGGGCAAAGCAAGGAAGACGCGUGUAGAACCGGCAGGUGGUGCUGCUCAGAAACCCCGCUUCGAGACCCAAGAGAAGCCUUUGGGCGCCUAGCUGGAUUUGGGGGUGCGGAGUCCUUGGCAGAGUACUGCUUGUUCUCAUAACAGCCACAACGAAGGGGUUCUUUGAGAGUUGUAGUUAAUUCACCGUCUGAAGGGCUGAGCAAUUUAAUCG